AUUGAACGCUGGCGGAAUGCUUUACACAUGCAAGUCGAACGGCAGCACGGGGCAACCUGGUGGCGAGUGGCGAACGGGUGAGUAAUACAUCGGAACGUGCCCAAUCGUGGGGGAUAACGUAGCGAAAGUUACGCUAAUACCGCAUACGAUCUACGGAUGAAAGCGGGGGAUCGCAAGACCUCGCGCGAAUGGAGCGGCCGAUGUCAGAUUAGGUAGUUGGUGGGGUAAAGGCUCACCAAGCCGACGAUCUGUAGCUGGUCUGAGAGGACGACCAGCCACACUGGGACUGAGACACGGCCCAGACUCCUACGGGAGGCAGCAGU
rnacentral:rRNA from 1 species